rnacentral:rRNA from 1 species
GUAGUCCUACGGGAGGCAGCAGUGGGGGAUAUUGCACAAUGGGGGGAACCCUGAUGCAGCGACGCCGCGUGGGUGAAGAAGCGCCUCGGCGCGUAAAGCCCUGUCAGCAGGGAAGAAAAUGACGGUACCUGAAGAAGAAGCCCCGGCUAACUACGUGCCUGCAGCCGCGGUAAUACGUAGGGGGCAAGCGUUAUCCGGAUUUACUGGGUGUAAAGGGGGCGCAGACGGCGAUGCAAGCCAGGAGUGAAAGCCCGGGGCCCAACCCCGGGACUGCUCUUGGAACUGCGUGGAUGUAGUG